rnacentral:rRNA from 1 species
AGGACGAACGCUGGCGGCGUGCUUAACACAUGCAAGUCGAGCGGAAAGGCCCUUCGGGGUACUCGAGCGGCGAACGGGUGAGUAACACGUGAGUAAUCUGCCCCUAGCUCUGGGAUAGCUCCGGGAAAACCGGGAUUAAUACCAGAUACGACCACUUUAGACAUCUGCUGUGGUGGAAAGAAUUUCGGCUAGGGAUGAGCUCGCGGCCUAUCAGCUUGUGGUGAGGUAACGGCUCACCAAGGCGACGACGGGU